UCUUUGCCCCUCAUCUCUCUCAUCCUCUCCAUCUCACUUACCUCUUUUUCCUGUUUAGUAUGUACCUAUGAAUCGUACUUAAGCAAAUUAUAUAGUUAUAGAUCUCUAUUAAAUCUAAAGUAUAGUCAUUUUAAAAAGUUUUUCAGUAUCAUGAUAAUUCAUAUAAUAAAGUUGGAGUAAAGGGUCUACUAAAUCAUACAAAAAAAUAAGUUUUCUUCUUAUAAUUAGUUUCCCUUUAUGUCUUUCUCUUUAAAGUAUUUGGUAUUUAAAUCUAUCGAAGAAAAUUAUAUAUAUAUAUAUAUAUAUAUAUAGCUUCAGAAAAUUAUACAUUCCCUUGAGAUAAAGCACUCACUUUCUAAAAAGCAAUUAACUAUUUUUAUUUUUUAUUUUUAAAAAAUUAAAUUAAUUCAAUUAAAUUUAAAUAUAAUUUUUUUUUGUCCAAAUAAAUAAGACUGUGACGCCUAAAGGUGCACUGUUUGAGCACGAGGACUUCACGUGAAGGACAGGCGCUGAAUUUUGUUUAAUACAAAGCUCACAAUAAACUCUUUUUUUGUCUUUUUCUUUCUUUUUGUUUUUUUUUGCCAAUUAUUUUUGUCCUUCACUUAUCACAAAUCACAAUCCAUUAAAUCAAAAUUUGUUUGGAUCAAAACUAUUUUGGAUUGUGCUUUUUCGUAGAAUUAGCGAUGAGUGGUAAUGUGCUCGUUACUACUAAUAUUCAAGUAAAUAAUGUUCGAAUUGAAGAGGACUAAUUGCAUAUUUUAAAAUGUUGGAUUGAAAUUUGGAAAAAGAACUAAUAUAUUUCUAAACUAUCGUAAACGGUAUGAAGAUAUCCUUCGUUAUUUAGGACAUUGGUGCUCCUGCUGUCCAAAAACUAUAUAACAUAUAUAUCUUUUAUACUGACAUACAUACACAUGUCGUAAUCUUAUUCAUCGACUGACAUUUAUUAAAUAUCGAAUCGACAGAUAAGAUUGUGUCACACGUUCCUAUUUAGUCUUCGGUUAGAGUGAAAGGUAUAUGUGCUCUACUUUUUGGACGGCAGGAGCACCAAUCCCAAAAGUAUGACGGAGGGUAUCUGCAUACCAUUUACGAUAGUUCAGGAACUUGGCGAAAGAGAAAUGGAGAGCUGCCGGAACCUAUCGAAUUGAAGUAAUCUAAUAAGUGUGACUGUUGAGACGAUCUUAUGUACACCCUCCAUUUGGUCUUUGUUACUAGUGGUAAGUUUGCUAUGUAAGUACAACAAUAUUUGUGAGUUUCAAAUCUUGAAUCCACUCCGGAUAAUAGUAGUCAGAACUAGCAAGGAACCAAGGUUGAAUGAAUACCUAAAAUUCUAUGUUAGCAAUGUAUUAGCCUAAGCUUGUAUUGCACUCGUUCCGAACAAGUUGACUUCAGAUCAA